GUGAAGUAACAGAAAACUCUUCUUCUUUCUUUCUAUAAUUUCUCUCUCUAGAGUUUCAGUGAAUUCGUAAGAAAUAAUGAAGGAAUGAGCUUCUAUUUAUAGAAGAAUGGAUUGAAUAGUAACUAAUUCCUGAACGGUCUAGAUUGAUUUACUUUUAAACGGACGGUCCAGAUUAAAACUUAAAGCAACGGUCCAUACUGAUUCACUAUUAAAACUUUAAACCAGCGAUCCAUACUGAUUCACUAUUAAAACUUUAAACCAACGAUCCAUAUUGAUUUACUAAUAUAAAUUCA
rnacentral:lncRNA from 1 species